ensembl:lncRNA
UGUGAUUGUGUUCCACUCAAGCGGAAUUUGCCUCAGCAGGCUGUCUGAUUAUAUCUGAUUAUUGACAUGAUUAGACAUUCCUGCUUAAUUUGAUGCACUGUUAAUUUUUGAUAGUCGUUUGGACCUCCUUGGUCACUCCAGCCAGGUUUAUCAAGGAGAUAAAAUGAAGCAAUGGGCAUGAGUAGUUGAGAAAUAGACACAAAGGACAUGGAUGGAAUGACUCGCUUAUAUUGCUUCUAGCAUGGACCUGGGAUCCCCCUGUUUCCUGGCCAGCAUCCUGUUACAAGCAUUUGUUCUCCCGAGCUGCCUCAGUGUUUCGGUUCGUUUCCCGAGCCAGCAGACCGUCUACGUGGUGACUGGGCAGAAUUUGGUCCUGCAGGCUGAGAUCGAGUUGUCCCAGGGGGAUCACGUCGCCAAGGUCACAUGGGAGCGUGAAGUCGAGGGAAAAAGGAAUUCUGGGAAAAGCGUGGUGGCUGAAUAUCCUGCUAAAAGCUCAGAAGGCCGGGUGAUCGUCGAGAAGGGCGGGUCUGUGAUGACGUUACGGGACUACCAGGGAACGGACAACGGCGUGUACACGGUCACCGUCCGAGACCAGAAAGGAGGUCAGAGUUCGGCACGCUGCACCGUCCACGAGUACGAGGCCGUGCACCAUGUGUCAGUGAUGGUGAACGUGUCGCACUCCAGCCUGCACUGCAUGGAAGCCUGGGGGACGGAGCCCGUCUUCCGUUGGCUCCACGAGAAAGUCGCGGUGACGGAGGCCGUGGGCCGCGUGUCAGCGGACGGCAGCUCUCUGUACCUGAACACGGCGCUGUGUGGCCACUUCACCUGCAUGGUGAGCAACAAGCUGGGCCACAGCUCGGCUACCUACACGGCAGAACCUUGUGAGAGAGAGAGCAGAGGAACCGCUGUAGCGGUUGUAUGUCUCGUGCUCUUGCUGCUCGUGGCUGGAGGUUUGACCUUCCUGCUCUGGAGGAAACGCACGAGUUACAGUAAUAGACGAGAGAGACUCCGGGAACCAGAUGAGGACAUUUAACCUCCACACUCAAGUCUGUGUGUCAGACUGAAACAUAAAUGGAAGAGACAAGAACUUAAGAUUGUUGCCUCUUCUCCAAGCACUUGGAUCAUUGCAAAACAUUCCAGAUAUGCUACCAGGGUUUUACUGGCUUUCAGUUACAGUCGGACAAGCCAAGGAGCGAAGAUCUCUCUUCCUUUUUUUUUUUUUUUUUUUUUUUUUAAAAAGGACCUUUACGAAGAAAAGAAAGCUGACGGUUUUGCAACUGUUUAAAUCUUCAGAAUAAGGAACAGCUUACUGUUAUUUCAUGUUUUUUUUUGUUUAGCUUGUUAUUAGUUGUGUUCGCAGUUCAUGUUAAGUUCUGUACAUGUACUGCAAUAAAAAAAGAGAAGACUUUUAAGGUAUUUCAAAGUCCAUGUUGUGUGACGAGUGAGUGAUGGAUGUGUUACGGCCCAGUCUAGGUUAGGCCGCACAGAGCAACCGGCUCGGGAUUCAAUGGAAUUUGACCUUUAAAUAAGGGAAGGCAGGAAUAACACAAAAUUAUAUACAUAUAACUGUACAAUGAACCAAAUCAGGCGUAACUUCAGGGUGGGCCAUGGCAAAUAAUGCUAUUGUUAGGUAGCUAGCUUACCGAAAAGGAAAAUAACAACGAAAAUACAAGGACUUCCCAAACUACCUAAGCCAAAAACAGAGACAAAGGACCCGCUCCCAAAAGAAAUGGCCACCACACCCCUACUGCCGGUGAACCAAGUGAACAUGUAUAUAAUGCUGAAUAGAAUGCACGAACAGGGACAGGGACGACCAAACUCGAAGUCCACAAACCAGGUAAAAGUCAAAAAACAGAAUUUGAUAGUCACAAGGGCGAGCAACACAAACCAAACAAUCUCCCAACAACAAAUCACACGUAACCACCUCCAACAUUCUCACUCCUCUUCCUCUUUAUACAUGGUCGUCAAUCAGUGAUGUCAUCCUGGGAGGCGGGAGCAAGGCACGCUAGGGAAGGCUGGAAACUCUGGGAGGGAGUUCAACCUGCAGACAAAAUAUGGCACAGCACACACACACACACA